rnacentral:rRNA from 1 species
AGACGGGACCCGCACAAGCGGUGGAUGAUGUGGUUAAUUCGAUGCAACGCGAAAACCUUACCCACCUUUGACAUGUACGGAAUCCUCUAGAGAUAGAGGAGUGCUCGAAAGAGAGCCGUAACACAGGUGCUGCAUGGCUGUCGUCAGCUCGUGUCGUGAGAUGUUGGGUUAAGUCCCGCAACGAGCGCAACCCUUGUCAUUAGUUGCCAUCAUUUGGUUGGGCACUCUAAUGAGACUGCCGGUGACAAACCGGAGGAAGGUGGGGAUGACGUCAAGUCCUCAUGGCCCUUAUGGGUAGGGCUUCACACGUCAUACAAUGGUCGGUACAGAGGGUUGCCAACCCGCGAGGGGGAGCUAAUCCCACAAAGCCGAUCGUAGUCCGGAUCGCAGUCUGCAACUCGACUGCGUGAAGUCGGAAUCGCUAGUAAUCGUGGAUCAGCAUGUCACGGUGAAUACGUUCCCGGGUCUU